rnacentral:lncRNA from 1 species
CAGUUCUCUUUGUCCACUUUCCAUUUCUCCCACCCUCUCCUCUUCCCACCAAAGUUACUUUCCUUUGUUGUUUUUGGUAUAAAGAACUUUCCUUCAGUUAAUUUCAAGGCUUCAGAAAAGCAGCUAAAAGAAGUUGAGUUGGGGAGAGGUAUUUGAUCCUCUUACUACACACAUAUAGCCCUACACCUGUGGCAUUGAACUGAGUAAAAAUGGAUG